UACAGAGGGUGCGAGCGUUGUCCGGAAUCACUGGGCGUAAAGGGCGCGUAGGCGGCUUUUCAAGCGUGCGGUGAAAGCUCGGGGCUUAACUCCGAGUCUGCCGUGCGAACUGGGAGGCUUGAGUCUGGUAGAGGUCGAUGGAAUUCCGGGUGUAGCGGUGGAAUGCGUAGAGAUCCGGAAGAACACCGGUGGCGAAGGCGGUCGACUGGGCCAGUACUGACGCUGAGGCGCGACAGCGUGGGGAGCAAACAGGAUUAGAUACCCUGGUAGUCCACGCCGUAAACGAUGGGCACUAGGUCCUUGGGGGAGCGACCCCUUGAGGGCCGGCGCUAACGCAUUAAGUGCCCCGCCUGGGGAGUACGGCCGCAAGGCUGAA
rnacentral:rRNA from 1 species